rnacentral:rRNA from 1 species
UACGGUAGGGUGCGAGCGUUGCCCGGAUUUAUUGGGCGUAAAGGGCGCGCAGGCGGCUCGGCACGUCCGUUGUGAAAUCGCCCGGCUCAACUGGGCGGGGUCAGCGGAUACGGUCGAGCUUGAGCAAGCCAGGGGGCAAUGGAAUUCCCGGUGUAGUGGUGGAAUGACGUAGAUAUCGGGAGGAACACCAGUGGCGAAGGCGGUUGCCUGGAGCUUUGGCUGACGCUGAGGCGCGAAGGCGUGGGGAGCGAACGAGG